UACAGAGGUGGCAAGCGUUGUCCGGAUUUAUUGGGCGUAAAGAGCGUGUAGGCGGCCAGGUAGGUCUGCUGUGAAAACUCGAGGCUUAACCUCGAGCUGUCGGCGGAAACCAUCUGGCUAGAGUCCGGAAGAGGAGAAUGAAAUUCCCGGUGUAGCGGUGAAAUGCGCAGAUAUCGGGAAGAACACCCGUGGCGAAGGCGGUUCUCUGGGACGGUACUGACGCUGAGACGCGAAAGCGUGGGGAGCGAACAGG
rnacentral:rRNA from 1 species